rnacentral:rRNA from 1 species
GAUGGCGACCGGCGCACGGGUGAGUAACGCGUAUGCAACCUGCCCGAUACCGGGGUAUAGCCCAUGGAAACGUGGAUUAACACCCCAUAGUACUUUUAUCCUGCCUGGGAUGGGAGUUAAAUGUUCAAGGUAUCGGAUGGGCAUGCGUCCUAUUAGUUAGUUGGCGGGGUAACAGCCCACCAAGACGAUGAUAGGUAGGGGUUCUGAGAGGAAGGUCCCCCACAUUGGAACUGAGACACGGUCCAA